rnacentral:lncRNA from 1 species
AGGAGGAGGUCCUGCAGGUGGUGCUGCAAGGGGUCGGCUGGCAGCAGGUGGUGGCUCAGCAGGAGGAGGUCCUGCAGGUGGUGCUGCAAGGGGUCGGCUGGCCGCAGGGGGACUGCACAGACACAGGCUGGCAGCAGGUGGGGUCUCAGCAGGAGGAGGUCCUGCAGGUGGUGCUGCAAGGGGUCGGCUGGCCGCAGGGAGGCCGGCAGCAGGGGGACUGCACAGACACAGGCUGGCAGCAGGGGGGCCGGCAGCAGGGGGACUGCACAGACACAGGCUGGCAGCAGGUGGUGGCCCAGCAGCAGGGCCUGCAC